GCGAGACAACGAAAUACCUCUACUUGGUAUUGUUUGUUCUUACUGGUGCUACAUCGAAUGGUGCUGCUGGUGGUGAUAGGAUUUACAUUUCGGAAUUAUUUCCCACAGAAAUACGAAGUGCCGGAUCUGGUUUUGCCACGAUUUCCGUUCGAAUCGUAGGGUUGGCAUCACCUUUCUUAAAACCAUUGGGUUUGAAUAUUCCAUGGGCUCCAGGUAUUAUAUUAGGAACUGGAUGUAUAGUUUCUGCCAUUUUACUUCAUAUAUAUCUACCAGAAACAGGAAACCUUGUUUUACCACAGAAAAUCGACGAUGUGAUUUGAUUAAGAGAUAUUGAACUGAGAGUGUAUAGCGUGUAAGAAAUGUAUUCAUUAUUGCAUUUAUAAAAUACUGAUACAUUGACAAUACCUUGCAUCAAUGCUAUAAUCUACUGCAGAAUAUAUCUACAGACUUUUGCAAACACCGUAUAAAGUAGACAAAUAUAAAUGCUUUGUCUUUAUAUUUUUCUGUCCAUGUUUAGAAGAAAUGCAAGAAAAAAAAAACAAGCAACAACAAUAAAAAAAAGCAAAAACAAAAACAAAGCAAAACAACAAACAAACAAAAUAUUUCACGUAUAGUUCAUCUUUUAAUUGUGUGUAGUUAGAACGUAAAGUGAGAAUUAUAUGUGGGAAUUCAGGCUUUUCCGCUUUUAUUAUUAAUAUGUUGCUGUUAAGGAUUGCUUUAGCCAAUUACAUAAUACA
rnacentral:lncRNA from 1 species